rnacentral:rRNA from 1 species
GACGAACGCUGGCGGCGUGCUUAACACAUGCAAGUCGAGCGGAAAGGCCCUUCGGGGUACUCGAGCGGCGAACGGGUGAGUAACACGUGAGUAACCUGCCCCAGACUUUGGGAUAACCCUCGGAAACGGGGGCUAAUACCGGAUACGACACAGCUUCGCAUGGGGUCUGUGUGGAAAGUUUUUCGGUUUGGGAUGGGCUCGCGGCCUAUCAGCUUGUUGGUGGGGUGAUGGCCUACCAAGGCGACGACGGGUAGCCGGCCUGAGAGGGCGACCGGCCACACUGGGACUGAGACACGGCCCAGACUCCUACGGGAGGCAGCAGUGGGGAAUAUUGCACAAUGGGCGGAAGCCUGAGGCAGCGACGCCGCGUGAGGGAUGACGGCCUUCGGGUUGUAAACCUCUUUCAGCAGGGACGAAGCGUAAGUGACGGUACCUGCAGAAGAAGCGCCGGCCAACUACGUG